CCAGACGGGACUCGCAGAAAAGUGCUUGGCCACCCACCAAUCAAAAUGAGGCCUCGGAGCCGCGCGCCCCUUCCCCGCCCCUUGGUGGCGUCGCUGUGGAAACCAAGGGAAGCGACGGUUACCUUACAGCUGGGGGCGGAAGCAAAAAGUUGAGUGACAGGGAGGGCAGCAUCCGCAUGGCGGGAGGCGCGACUGUGUGAAUUCCCAGACCCUGCCCCUGAGCCUUCAUCAACUGUGGAACCCUCUGGAACUUAGAGGCUGGACAUCAGAGACGUGGUGAGAAGUCCUCAAAGGUAAAUCACUGAUUCACAGAGGAGCAGGGUGGGGCAAGGUGAGUCAGUGCUUAGCACUUAGUCAUCCAGGUUCAGUUCUGGAAACCUCUAAAGCUACAACUUUUGGGGACCUGUGGCUGUGGUCUUCAGAAAGUCACUAUCUUUUUCACCAGGCCUAGCUGGGCAAAAGAGAUGAAAACAUGAAAGUGUUUUAUAAUUGUGCUUCAAAACACAGAUCUUGGGGCGCCUGGGUGGCUCAGUUGGUUAAGCGACUGACUUCGGCUCCGGUCAUGAUCCCAGGGUCCUGGGAUCGAGCCCCACAUCGGGCUCCCUGCUCAGCCUGCUUCUCCCUUUCCCUCUACCUGCCGCUCUGCCUACUUAUGCUAUCUCUCUGUCAAAUAAAUAAAUUUUAAAAAAAUUUAUUCUGAAAA